AGGGAUUUCCUGGUUCUCUUUCAACUCCAGCAUUCUGCUGCUUUGAAGGCUCUCUUCACUUCUCAGCUGCUUAAGGUCACUUGCAAUGUCUUCUAUUAUCAGUGGUAGAUUGGCCCUGACAAUCCUCAUAAAUUAAACUGUCCAGCUGCAGCUCCUUCAUCGAUGCUGUCAGUAAUGGAAACAAGAAUGAAAGAGAGAAAGGGAGAAUAUUCAACACGAUGAAGAGGAGCCCAAAGUAUCUACAGGCCCGGGUUAGCAGCCCUGAUUUGCAAGCUCACUCACUGGCCUUCAGGUGGGGGCUGAGUCCUGAGAUAUGAUGAAGAAGACAUUUCCUGCUGGAGCCCUAUGUGUGCUGCUUUCCAAACUGAUGUGAGCCAGAAACUUCACAGUUUAAACAGUAUAGGUGUACAUUUAUGCAAGCCAAGGGCAAAGGAUUUAGUAUUUUCUAGGGAAAGACACAGGAAGGACCUGAACAGGUGUAGCUGCAAACCAUGCCUUUCCUUCUCAAGGGCCAAGUUUAUGUUAAAGGCCAUGCAGCCCAUAGAAGGAUGGUUCUGGGAAACUGAUGCCAACCCCCAGCCUUCGGAGGUCAAGGCACCAGAAGCAAGGACAUCAGGGCUUUCUGCAUUGGCCACUGCACACGCUGUCCUGAGAGAUUUUACAUGAGCCCAACAAAACAUUAGAAGUGACUAGAGAUGGCCAAUUUUCCAUUCUAGGAAAUCCAAAAGUGUGGCCAAUAUUAGUGGGUGGAUACUUAACACAUUGUUUCAAUGAGAAAAAAAAAAGAAUCAAGAUAUAUCAUGCACAGGUUCAAAUUUGAUAUGAAUGUUAUUAUACCUAACAUGU